CCCUUAGAUGUUCUGGGCCGCACGCGCGCUACACUGAUGCAUUCAACGAGUUUCUUCCUGGUCCGAGAGGAAUGGGUAACCUUUUGAAAGUGCAUCGUGAUAGGGAUAGACUAUUGCAAUUAUUGAUCUUGAACGAGGAAUUCCUAGUAAACGCGAGUCAUCAGCUCGCAUUGAUUACGUCCCUGCCCUUUGUACACACCGCCCGUCGCACCUACCGAUUGAAUGUUUCGGUGAAGAUUCCGGAUAGGACUUUUUUGAUUUAUUUCAAUUUUGUCUUAAAAGCUAUCUAAACCUCAACAUUUAGAGGAAGGUGAAGUCGUAACA
rnacentral:rRNA from 1 species